GACGAACGCUGGCGGCGUGCUUAACACAUGCCAGUCGAACGGUGAAGCGCCUUCCUUUUUGGUGGGUGUGGAUGAGUGGCGAACGGGUGAGUAACACGUGAGUAACCUGCCCCCUUCUUCUGGAUAACCGCAUGAAAGUGUGGCUAAUACGGGAUAUUCUGGGUCUGUCGCAUGAUGGGUCUGGGAAAGAUAUUGUUUCGGUGGGGGAUGGGCUCGCGGCCUAUCAGCUUGUUGGUGGGGUGAUGGCCUACCAAGGCGGUGACGGGUAGCCGGCCUGAGAGGGUGGCCGGUCACACGGGGACUGAGACACGGCCCAGACUCCUACGGGAGGCAGAAGUGGGGAAUAUUGCACAAUGGGCGCAAGCCUGAUGCAGCGACGCCGCGUGAGGGAUGGAGGCCUUCGGGUUGUGACCCUCUUUCGCCAGUGAAGCAGGCCUGCCUCGUUUGUGGGUGGGUUGACGGUAGCUGGAUAAGAAGCGCCGGCUAACUACGUG
rnacentral:rRNA from 1 species